CUUGGUCAUUAGAGGAAGUAAAAGUCGUAACAAGGUCUCCGUUGGUGAACCAGCGGAGGGAUCAUUACCGAGUUUACAACUCCCAAACCCAAUGUGAACCAUACCAAACUGUUGCCUCGGCGGGGUCACGCCCCGGGUGCGUCGCAGCCCCGGAACCAGGCGCCCGCCGGAGGGACCAACCAAACUCUUUCUGUAGUCCCCUCGCGGACGUUAUUUCUUACAGCUCUGAGCAAAAAUUCAAAAUGAAUCAAAACUUUCAACAACGGAUCUCUUGGUUCUGGCAUCGAUGAAGAACGCAGCGAAAUGCGAUAAGUAAUGUGAAUUGCAGAAUUCAGUGAAUCAUCGAAUCUUUGAACGCACAUUGCGCCCGCCAGUAUUCUGGCGGGCAUGCCUGUCCGAGCGUCAUUUCAACCCUCGAACCCCUCCGGGGGGUCGGCGUUGGGGAUCGGGAACCCCUAAGACGGGAUCCCGGCCCCGAAAUACAGUGGCGGUCUCGCCGCAGCCUCUCCUGCGCAGUAGUUUGCACAACUCGCACCGGGAGCGCGGCGCGUCCACGUCCGUAAAACACCCAACUUCUGAAAUGUUGACCUCGGAUCAGGUAGGAAUACCCGCUGAACUUAAGCAUAUCAA
rnacentral:rRNA from 1 species